rnacentral:misc_RNA from 1 species
GCAAACUUGGUCAUUUAGAGGAAGUAAAAGUCGUAACAAGGUUUCCGUAGGUGAACCUGCGGAAGGAUCAUUAUCGAGUUUUGACUGGGUUGUAGCUGGCCUUCCGAGGCAUGUGCACGCCCUGCUCAUCCACUCUACACCUGUGCACUUACUGUGGGUUUUACGGGUCGUGACAUGGGCUCGUUUAUUCGGGCUUGUUGAGCGCACUUGUUUGCCUGCGUUUAUCACAAACUCUAUAAAGUAUUAGAAUGUGUAUUGCGAUGUAACGCAUCUAUAUACAACUUUCAGCAACGGAUCUCUUGGCUCUCGCAUCGAUGAAGAACGCAGC